GACGAACCUUGCAAACGUUAUUCGGAAUCACUGGGCUUAAAGGGUGCGUAGGCUGUGCAGUAAGUUGGGUGUGAAAUACCUCGGCUUAACCGAGGAAUUGCGCCCAAAACUACUGUGCUCGAGGAAGAUAGAGGUGAGCGGAACUUAGGGUGGAGCGGUGAAAUGCGUUGAUAUCCUAAGGAACACCGGUGGCGAAAGCGGCUCACUGGAUCUUAUCUGACGCUGAGGCACGAAAGCCAGGGUAGCAACCGGG
rnacentral:rRNA from 1 species